GCUGCAGUGAGCCAUGAUUGUGCCACUGCAUUUGAGCUUGGGCGGCAGAGCAAGACCCUGUCUCAAACAAAUUCUUGAUAGCCAUGUUGAAACCUCUGACUGUAAUUGCAGAUUUGUCUGUAAUUUUUCCUCGCAGUUCUAUCAGCUUUUGCUUCGUGUGUUUUGAGACCCUGCGCUCACAUCGUGCAUGCUCUUAACUGGUUGACCCCUGUGUCAUCAUGAAAUGACCCUCUUUAUCCCUAGACCCUGAUUUGAAAUCGAUUCCUGCUUUCCUUUGAUUAGUUUACCACGGGAUAUCUUCUUUCACCUUGCUACUUUUUACCUAGUGUGUCUCAUACUUAAAUUAGCUUCCUUGGAGAUUUCUGUAGGAUCAAAGUAUCUGCUUUGACAUAUUUAUUAACUCUAAAAAAGUAGUAACAGCUUUUCAGUGGAGAAACCACCUUAUCUAUGUGACAAAGCUCGGGCUGUCAGUGGCAAGGCAGAUUGGCAUCAUGUACCCUUGAUACGACACCCUGAGAAGGAUGUCACUUCUGCGAUAUUCCUGCCAAAAAUGCAUCUCCCCAUUCCAAUCGUGAGAACAUCCCGGGCACGCCCAAACUGAGAAAAACUCUACAAAGUGACUGGUCAGUGCAUUCAAAGGCAAAAAGCUCAUGGAAGACGAGAGAAGACAGGAGAAGUGACAGCUAAAAGUAGUGGGGAAUCUUGCAAGGCACAAAGAACAUGAGCAGAGAAACUGCAGACACUGAGUGAGGGCAGCUGUGAAGUUUGUAUGUUAGAAGCGGAAGGGAUGCCAAAGGCAAACCCAAACGUUAUGGUAUAUUUUAAAUUCAGUGAAUUCAUGCAGUUGCCACCGAACACCGCAGUGUAGACAGGAAUGAGUCCGCAGACAUUACCAAGAGUGAAGGAGGCCAGGCUCGCAAAGCACACCUGGCCAGGCUCCGACUGGGGAGGUUCAGGAGCAGACGAGACUCGUGGGGGAGGGGGGGUGAGGAGGUCAGACGCAUGGGGACAACAAUGCGGGGGCUCCAGGGCUCCGGGGGCUGGAGAUGACCGGGUGCUCGUUGUUGACAUAAGAAACCCAUCGGCUGCUCCCACAUAAGGUGUGUGCAUGACUAAGUGUGUGUUAUGCCACUGUCAAGACAGGGCAGAUGUGCAGCCUGCUCACUGGUGGCAGAUGCUUCCCGGUGUUGACAGUGUGUGCACUGACGGACUGCUGAGUCGGGGGCACUUGCCUGAAGCCACGUGCCUUGGGAACACACAGGUGGAGCAGAGCAAACAGGCCGGGAAUACCUCCAUGCCGCGCGUCAGCAAGUUCUCAAAAGACAGCCAGUGCUCCUGCCGGAGGAUCCGCUUCAGCUUCCGAGGCAGCGUCUCCCCCGGCUCCCGGGAGCCCUGGACAGACACAGGCAGGUCAACAGGGCACUGAAGCGGGACCUCAGGCUGCCCUGGCACCCGUCUCCACUGGCCUUCUACCUAUCGUGGGCAGCAGCCCAGCCCCAGGAGCCACAGGCAGGCGGCGUCUUGGGCUGGAGUGACAUUACCCAGAACCAGCCAUCUACGUCAGCAUCUGUGAGCCUGCCAUGGCCCGAGCAGGGGGCACUGGGCUGCAGGCACAACCUCUGAGGAGCAGGGACAGCCCCCAGGAUACCUACCCUGAGCUCAGGCUCCCCAAGGAUGACAGGGCACCCCCUCCCUGCUCCCCUGGCACCUGCCCCAGGCGUCGCCCCCCCACCAGCUCAGGCCCAGUGCAGCAGGCUACUGCAGCGGGUUCCCUGUUUGCAUUCCCGUCUCUCCCAGUCCCACCCCGGCCUGUGCUGGGGCUGGCUGGGCUCCCACACGCUCCCGAGCGCCACCUGCCUCAGGGACCUGACUCUACCCCGAACCUCCUCCUCCCCACACCCAUCUUUCCCAUCCUAUUUGUCAUUCAAAGUCCCAUUGAAACACCCAUGAGUUUCUCAUGAAGACUUUGCAGGCACGUCAAGACAGUCCCACCUUAGCCCCGUGACACUCUCACCCUCAAGCAUGAGUGCCCUAGAGCCAGGAACCCAGGAGGCCCCUCAGAGCGCCCCUCUCAGUGACCAGCCAGAGCUGACAGAGAUGCCGAUGGCUCCGUCCUCGUUCCGCCUCCACCUGCAGAGGGAGCGACCACGGCUGCCCAGGACCCGCUGUGGCCUCCACCCUCCCCUGCGCCACGCUGGGGCUGGCCCUGCCUGGGGCGGGGCGGUGUCAGGUCCACCACAGGCUCAAGCUGUGUUCUUUAUCAAGUUCUUCAUCCCCAGGGAAAAGACUGAGCUAGUAACCACUUAGGGGAUGUCCUUCCUCACUUCCAUCAGCAGCUGGUAGGACUAGAAAGAACCCCAGCCUUCAUGGAGAAUUUUUAAAGAUUAAAACCCUUAGAGAGGUACCUGCCCUUCGA